rnacentral:misc_RNA from 1 species
CGUAGUAAUCUUGAGAUGGAUACACUGAAAAACAUCCUUCAUGAAAAUAUUAUUGGGAAAAAUUAUUUGAUUGUGUUGGAUGAUGUGUGGAAUGAGGAUCCUGCUAAAUGGUUUCGUUUGAAAGAUUUAUUGGUUGGUGGUGCCAGAGGAAGUAGAAUAAUAAUAACCACACGUCUCAAAAGGGUUGCUGAGAUAACUCGCUCAGUUUCAAUAUAUGAAUUGCAGGGCCUGUCUGAAAUUGAGUCUUGGUCAUUGUUUAAACAAAUGGCAUUUAGACGAGGGCAAGUGCCGAGCCCAAGUCACGAGGCAAUUGGAAAGGAAAUUGUAGCAAAAUGUGCAGGGGUCCCUCUAGCCAUUAGAGCAAUAGGAGCUCUAUUGUAUUAUAGAAAUACUGAGUCUGAAUGGUUGUCUUUCAUAAAUAAGGAACUCUCAGAAGUAGAUCAGCAAGAAAGUAAUAUUUUACCCACUCUUAAAUUGAGUUAUAAUCAU